GGUCCCGUAGCAUAGUCGGUUAAUGCGCUAACCUUAUACUAUAUAUACUAACCAUAUAUAUUCUAUGUUAGAUAUCCUGGGUUCGAGUCCCAGCGGGACCA
rfam:Aspergillus zonatus CBS 506.65 unplaced genomic scaffold ASPZOscaffold_3, whole genome shotgun sequence.